CACUAAGAGAAUGAGUGAGCCCCUCCCCUGCCCCCUCUUCUGGAGUUUGGAACUGUCAAGUUCCAGCUCCUACCCCCUUUCCCAGGUUCAAGACCCCUGCGCUGCCCACCCCGCGGGCCCGGCUGCGCUCGGAGGCCGGGCCUGGCCUGCCUGGCCCGUGAGGAUCUGCACCAGCAGGUCCACGAACCCAAAGGAAGCGUACAUGAGGACCAGCUGUUCCAGGCGCAGGGUCAGCUGUUGGGAGAUCUCUAACAGCUGCAUACAGGAUGGAUACAGUGAGAUCAGCUGGCCUGAGAGGAGUGGGCCUCCCCCUCCACCAUCCCCACAGCCUCGGAGCUGCGAGAAGAAAGGGGCCUGGGGUCUAAGAAACCUCUACACACCCCCUUUCGGACCAGCUCCUGCAGGGGUCCAUAGAUGUGGGGUACGCUUCUCGCGGCUGCCUCCAGGUACAGGAAGUAGGGCUCACACAUCUGUAAAAAGGUGGGCAUGGCCUUGGCCAGCUGCUCCUUCUGUACUUGGUCUCUGCUGAAGGAAGAAGGGGGCCUUUGCCUGCAAUCCCUCACAAUCCCUCCCCACCCCCCCGUUUUCCCCCAUUCUACUCAACCCCAACCUGUAUCCCUGGCUUUGACCCCUGUUAGAAAAGCCCCCAGUUUCAGGUCUUUUCUGAA